rnacentral:rRNA from 1 species
UUUCGAAUCAUUCACAAUGGGCGAAAGCCUGAUGGUGCGACGCCGCGUGAGGGAUGAAGGUCUUCGGAUUGUAAACCUCUGUCACUGGGGAAGAAACGCUGAAUCCUAAUACGAUUCAGCCUGACUUAACCCGGAGAGGAAGCAGUGGCUAACUCUGUGCCAGCAGCCGCGGUAAUACAGAGACUGCAAGCGUUAUUCGGAUUCACUGGGCGUAAAGGGUGCGCAGGCGGCCGUGUGUGUCAGAUGUGAAAUCCCGGGGCUUAACUCCGGAACUGCGUCUGAAACUACACGGCUAGAGCAUUGGAGAGGGUAGUGGAAUUCACGGUGUAGCAGUGAAAUGCGUAGAUAUCGUGAGGAACACCAGAGGCGAAGGCGACUACCUGGACAAUUGCUGACGCUCAGGCACGAAAGCGUGGGGAGCCAAAG